rnacentral:piRNA from 1 species
UAUGAUUCAGGCUUACCGUAGAGGUGGAC